UGCAGAGGGUGCGAGCGUUAAUCGGAAUUACUGGGCGUAAAGCGCGCGUAGGCGGCUUUGCAAGUCGGGUGUGAAAUCCCCAGGCUUAGCCUGGGAACUGCAUUCGAGACUGCAUUGCUAGAGUAUGGGAGAGGGAAGUGGAAUUUCCGGUGUAGCGGUGAAAUGCGUAGAUAUCGGAAGGAACAUCAGUGGCGAAAGCGACUUCCUGGACCAAUACUGACGCUCAUGUGCGAAAGCGUGGGGAGCAAACAGG
rnacentral:rRNA from 1 species